AGAGUUAAAUAGUACGUGAAAUUGUUGAAAGGGAAACGAUUGAAGUCAGUCGUACUUACGAGUAAUCAACUUUUUAAGUAUGAUCUUGUGGGCAUUUAAGAGUUUAACCCCUUUAUGUUCUCAAGUUUGUGCUUUUGGGCGUAUUUGCUCGUAUGUAGGUUAACAUCAAUUUUGGUCGUUAUAAAAUAACUGGAGAAAUGUAGCUUCGAUCUCGAUUGAAGUGUUAUAGUCUCUGGUGGAUGUAAUGAUCGGGAUUGAGGAUUGCAACGAAUACCCUUUUGGGCUAUCUGUCUGGCUUCUGGUCGCCGCCUUGGUGCCGAAAGCUUGCUUACGGUUAUUGAGGUUUGGUGGUCAAUAGGUUAGAAUGGAUUAUAUUCGUUAAGGAUGUUGACGUAAUGGCUUUAAACGACC
rnacentral:rRNA from 1 species